rnacentral:rRNA from 1 species
AGGGUGUAAACGCUGCAGACUUGGUGUUGGGGGCCCUUUGGGGGCAUUCAGUGCCGGAGAGAAGUUGUUAAGUCUGCUACCAGGGGAGUACGUCCGCAAGGAUGAAACUUAAAGGAAUUGGCGGGGGAGCACCGCAACGGGAGGAGCGUGCGGUUUAAUUGGAUUCAACACCGUAAAACUCACCAGGGAAGACUGUUACAUGAAGGCCGAGAUGAAGACUCUGCUAGAUUUUUCAGAGAGGAGGUGCAUGGCGUCAGUGACU